ensembl:snRNA
AAAAGGGGCUUGUGUCCUGAGUGACACACAUAGGGCACCUCAUUCUCUCUGCGCACGGAAUUGACAUCAAGAGAUUUCAGAAGCAUAAUUUUUGAUGUUUGGGCAGCUGGUGAUAAGUUGGUUCUGGCGCCCUU